rnacentral:rRNA from 1 species
UACCAUGCAGUCGAGGGGUAACAUAGAAAAGCUUGCUUUUCUGAUGACGACCGGCGCACGGGUGCGUAACGCGUAUACAACCUACCUUUUAGCGGGGAAUAGCCCAGGGAAACUUGGAUUAAUGCCCCAUAGUAUAUAGACUUCUCCUGAAGUUUAUAUUAAACAUUUAUGGCUAUUAGAUGGGUAUGCGUCCUAUUAGUUAGUUGGUAAGGUAACGGCUUACCAAGGCAGCGAUAGGUAGGGGUCCUGAGAGGGAGAUCCCCCACACUGGUACUGAGACACGGACCAGACUCCUACGGGAGGCAGCAGUGAGGAAUAUUGGACAAUGGGCGAGAGCCUGAUCCAGCCAUGCCGCGUGCAGGAAGACUGCCCUAUGGGUUGUAAACUGCUUUUACAGAGGAAGAACCACCCCCACGUGUGGGGGUUUGACGGUACUCUGCGAAUAAGGAUCGGCUAACUCCGUGCCAGCAGCCGCGGUAAUACGGAGGAUCCAAGCGUUAUCCGGAAUCAUUGGGUUUAAAGGGUCCGUAGGCGGGCAGUUAAGUCAGUGGUGAAAGUCUUCCGCUCAACGGGAGAACUGCCAUUGAUACUGAUUGUCUUGAGUUAUUAUGAAGUGGUUAGAAUGAGUAGUGUAGCGGUGAAAUGCAUAGAUAUUACUCAGAAUACCGAUUGCGAAGGCAGAUCACUAAUAAUAUACUGACGCUGAUGGACGAAAGCGUAGGUAGCGAACAGGAUUAGAUACCCUGGUAGUCUACGCCGUAAACGAUGGUUACUAGCUGUUCGGCCCAAUUGAGGGCUGAGUGGUUAAGCGAAAGUGAUAAGUAACCCACCUGGGGAGUACGUUCGCAAGAAUGAAACUCAAAGGAAUUGACGGGGGCCCGCACAAGCGGUGGAGCAUGUGGUUUAAUUCGAUGAUACGCGAGGAACCUUACCAGGGCUUAAAUGUAGUCUGACAGGUCUGGAAACAGACUUUUCUUCGGACAGAUUACAAGGUGCUGCAUGGUUGUCGUCAGCUCGUGCCGUGAGGUGUCAGGUUAAGUCCUAUAACGAGCGCAACCCCUGUGGUUAGUUGCCAGCGAGUAAUGUCGGGAACUCUAGCCAGACUGCCGGUGCAAACCGCGAGGAAGGUGGGGAUGACGUCAAAUCAUCACGGCCCUUACGUCCUGGGCCACACACGUGCUACAAUGGUAGGGACAGAGAGCAGCCACUUCGCGAGAAGGAGCGAAUCUACAAACCCUAUCACAGUUCGGAUCGCAGUCUGCAACUCGACUGCGUGAAGCUGGAAUCGCUAGUAAUCGCAUAUCAGCCAUGAUGCGGUGAAUACGUUCCCGGGCCUUGUACACACCGCCCGUCAAGCCAUGGAAGCCGGGGGUACCUGAAGUCGGUCACCGCAAGGAGCCG